rnacentral:misc_RNA from 1 species
GAUGAAGAACGUAGCGAAAUGCGAUAAGUAGUGUGAAUUGCAGAAUUCAGUGAAUCAUCGAAUCUUUGAACGCACAUUGCGCCCCUUGGUAUUCCAUGGGGCAUGCCUGUUCGAGCGUCAUUUGUACCUUCAAGCCUUGCUUGGUGUUGGGUGUUUGUCUCGCCUCUGCGCGCAGACUCGCCUCAAAACAAUUGGCAGCCGGCGUAUUGAUUUCGGAGCGCAGUACAUCUCGCGCUUUGCACUCAGAACGACGACGUCCAAAAGUACAUUUUUACACUCUUGACCUCGGAUCAGGUAGGGAUACCCGCUGAACUUAAGCAUAUCAAUACGCGGAGGA